CAGAGGAGUCAGCGGUGUCAGAGUAAACCCGGUGAACCCGGUGCUCGAGAACUGGGGGAAAGGUCGGUGCAGCGAACGAGCGGAAUCGUGAGAUACUCGCACGCGUCUGGCUAGCUCUGCCAUCGGAGUGUGGCAUGCGCAGACGAGCGCGCGCUGAGUCCACACUGGAUGAGGGCUGUGAUUUUGCUGGUUUGUCUAGGUGAGCAGAGCUGAGCAGACAAAAGGCUUCAUUGGUCUACCCCUCCUCUUCUGAGAUUCAGAUAUUCAGUGAAAAAGACAGAGGAGAUUGUAUUUCUCUGUCUGCGAUGUGUUGUACAGCCGAGGAAGACAUUUGCCGUCCUUAGAAAUGUUUAGCAUUUAUUAAUGUUCUUAGCAAAGAAAUAAAGGGAAUUUAUAGUCGAUAUUCGUGAAAUAAAAUCGUCAAAUGUAUAUAAAUGGGCAACACUUAAUGUCUUUUGAAUAAUAAUUAAACAGUGUAGCACACCUUUUUUGCACAAAGAUAAUUCAAUAAUAAAAAUGAAUGUGGAGUCCUAAACACAUAAUUGACACGAGAACAAAGGCCUAUUAAAGAGCGAUAUUUAAUUCUAUAUACAUAUAGGGAAGGUUCAGCCAUUUUGUCUGAUAAUAAAGACUGAGCGUUUUGUGACGCGGAUCUGGAAAUAUUAACCCCAUGGGAAAAAAUGACAACUAAUUGGACAUUAUAACAAAAUAAUUGCUUCUUAAGCCUGCUAAAAGUGUUAAACCAUCUAAAAUAUUUAAACAAAAGAGGACUUUUAUUGGUGAAACACAUUUCUUUAUGGAGGUUUAGAAGGCAACAUCUGGUUUUGCUUCAUAAUUAUUAGCCUACAUUUUGAUAGCAGGAUUGGGGGUUUUCAGUUGUUUUUGAAACUGGUGUUGUGGGAGUCACAUGUAAAGAGAAAAUACACAAAGGUCUUUAAUAUUGUAGAGAUGAUGCAUGUAAAUAAAGAACAUGUCUCCAUUUAGCAAAAGCUGUAAGAAAAAGCAAAAGAAUCCAGCGUUAGCGUCAGUUCUGGCAGGUCACGUCAGUCAAGCUCGCAUCAGAUGACUCCCAGGUGACUCAUGUCUACCUAUAGGAAUAUGGCGCCUAUCACGGCAUUCAUAUAUAAGCUCCUCAGUAUUAUCAGCAGCUAUCGCAUUUCUCAGGAGCUAAAUACCCUCCUCCAUCCCCAGCUCCUCCUCUUUUCAGUCAGGAUUGGCCUUAUAAUUCCCCUGAAUCAGACUAAUUCUUGAAAUAUGUGUACAUGUUAAAUUAUUGACAUUAAUGAUAUCUGCAUAUGUUGGUUCUGUUCUGUUCACCCUAAGGGGGGUUAUUGCUGCUCUCCCUGCUCUUAUCCAUGCUAGGCUGCUAGGGAGUUCUUGCCCAGAACAGAACCAGACCGCCAAUACAAUCUCUAUGCAAUUAUCAAUCAUAUUUGACGAUAGUGAUCCUGGCGGAACAGAGGAAAGAAGAUCUCCUGUGUUGAUGGAACAAGAAAACAGAUCAACAAAGUAGAAGAAAAGUUGCACAUAAACUAAAAACACUCAGAAAAAGUAUGGGAUCAGUGAGAUUUUUUAAUGUUUUUGAAAAAAGUAAAACUGGUACUUAAUUUUGUGGAAACCAUGAUUCAUUUUUUUUCAGUAUUCUUUGAUUAAUAGAAAUUUCAAAAGAAUAGCAUUUAUUUGAAAUAGAAAUCUUUUGUACCAAGUCUUUACUGUCACUUUUGAUCAAUUUAACAUGUCUUUGCUGUGGGGAAAAAAAACACAUUAAAGAUAGGGUAUAGGCAAUGUUUUUCAUAAACACUUUUUGUUAUACUGGUUGAAACUCUCUUCACAUCCUGAUAGUAAUCAAUAAUAGAAGUGGUCUUAAUAUUAAAAAAUGUACAUAAUCUUCUGUGGAAGUCUCAGGACCAAAAAAAUGUUUGUCCCGAAUGCAGUGAUUGGUUAUUUGUUUAUGAUUGGAUAUUUUUUUUCUUCGUUUGACAACUGCUUCCUUAAAAAACAUUUGAGUGUUUAAAUGACACAAUUAUUUCCUUUAUCGAUUCCCACAGUAAUUUCUGAAUACAGCUGCUGAAUGGUUAUAUUUAAAAUAAAUAAAUAAAUAUAGAAGAAAGUAUUUGGUAUAUAAAAAUAUAAAGAGCUAACCCCACUAUAAUAGUAGUUCCAGUACUUAGUGAAAAUGUAAUCAUUUUUGUUUCUCAAUAAGUAUAAAUAACAUUGUUUAGAAUUAGAACUAAAAUGUUAGCAUAAAAUACAAGUGACUAAAUAGAUAAUAUUUCACAAGAUAUUACUACUUGAAUUAUUCAUGUGUUUUUUUUUUUAGUUUAGUAAUUAUGACAACUUUUAAAGUCAGUCUAUUUAAUGAGAAAUAAAAUUAUAUAAAGAGUUCUGGAGAUGUACAACCUUUGCUUUGCACACAUCAUUUUAAAUGAAGCUGAGACAUUAUUAUACAAAUCUUUAUUUAAAUUGUUAGACCUAAAAUUUUGCACUGUUAUACAUCACAAACAACUUGUAGGUUCUAGAUUCAUCACCAUAGCUUGUGUUUUCGAGAAUGAGCUGUUUGAACCCAGAGACUGUGGAAUCUUGGGAGGGAAGUGAGGCCAUUUAUGGGGGUUAAGCUGCUGGCCAAGGGAGGCAGUGUGUGUGUCUGUGUGUGUGAAAGAGAGAGGCCAAACAGGGCAUGCAAACACAGGCUUUGAGGAGGGUUGGGUGGCAGAUGUGCUGUCCGCUUUUGGCUGCUGAGGAAAAACAGUUGAAACUUUGGGGCUUCAUCCAAUGUGCUGCUGCAGCGUGUCUGAACUGAAUGACUUGAGCUCAGCUUAAAUAGGUGGGGUUCUCAAAAAGUAGGUCAUCCAAAAAGGGCGGGCUCGCUUUUAACCUCUAAGAUGCAACGUGCUUUCCGUGUUGCAUAGCCUGAAUCUGCCCCAUCAUGGCCGUUAGAAAUAAAUGUUGAUAAAUUAACAUCAUAAAUCAAAGUAAGAGCGUUGGUGCUUUAUCUCACAGUUUUUGUACUGGAAUGAGACAUACUCAGCAUUUUGAGUAAGUUACAUGAAUUCUCAGAGGCACCAUCACAUGAGUUGAGACUGUAAGAGCAAACAGCUCGCCUCCACACCCACGACUCACACAGAAGGAUGAAAACAUUUUUCACAAUAUACACACCCCUCAGUUCUGAAUAUGCAACAUAAUGCAAGAAAGGGUAAAUGCACAUUGACUCACACUGACAAGUUAGCACACAACUAAAACAUGAUGGCCUGUCUACUUGGUUAACCUGUAGCAUUAGUGAUAAAGGCACAUUGUGAGUCUGUUUUGCAAAGCAUUUUUGCAGAUAAAAAGUAAAUCUUGUAUAAUGCACACAAAGGAGUCCACACAGUCUGUAAGCAACUAUUUCUUAUUUCUGAAAAAAAUGUAUCAUGAUAAUAGCAAAGUUUGGGGUCUGUACAAUUAAAAAAAAAAUGUUUUUGAAGGAAAUCUCUUAUGCUCUGCAUUUAUUUGAUCAAAAAUACAGUAAAAUAUUAUUACAAUUUAAAAUAAUUGUUUUGUAUUUUAAUAUAUUUUAAAAUGUAAUUUAUAUGCCUGUGAUGAGUUUUCAGCAGCCAUUAUUUCAGUCUUUAGAGUCACAUGAUCCUUUAGAAAUUAGUUUAAUAUACUGAAUUGGUGCUCAAGAAACUUAUUUUAUCAGUGUUGUUUAUCAGAAAACAGAUGUGCUGCUUAAUAUUUUUCUUGAAACUGUGAUACUUUUUAUUUAAUUAAAGGAUUCCUUAAUUAAUAGAAAGUUCAAAAGAACAGCAUUUAUUUAAAAGAUCUUUAGGAAUCUUUUGUAACAUUAUAAAUACCCACUAAUCAGUUUCAUGUGUGCUAAAUAAAAGUAUGUUCUUAAAGAAAGAACGAAAGAAAGAAGUUAGUGUAAUCUUACCACAAAGUUUUGAAUAAUUUUUGAUUCAGCAGUAAGUAAGUCUUAGUCAGACUUGGAUAUCUGUAGUUGUGAUAGUUUAGCAAUUGAAUAGAGCUUGAUAAGUUCACUAAAGAUGUUUGUCCACUGCCCUUUAACCUAGGACCAUAAAUAAACUGCAGGAAAAUCGUGCUUGUUCACAUUUUUCAGAAUUAGGCCUACACAGUUUUAUUGUUUUACUGACUUGAAGCUCAAAUAUAACAGCUGAUGAAGAAAAACCUGGAGAAGAAUAUUUGAGGCAAUAUUUUGAGGGGAAGUGGCUUUUGCGACUGCUUUCAUUAAAACAUGAAAAGUGUCAACUCUAUGAUAAAAACUUUUCUUUUGAGUUUUUCUAAAUGUAGUUUCAUAAUACUGGUUAUAUAAAUGGUUAACGAGCUAAAACUAAAGCGUCAAAUACUGACACGAAGUAGAAUAAAAGAGAGAAACAGAGGUGGGGGAAGGAGAGGAAGUGAAGUGUGAGAUAAAACACUAAAGAUAAAACCGUCGGUUGUUUACAAUGAAAUUGCGCCGGUCUAGCAUGUUUAUCUGUGUGCACACAAACCCUGGUCAGUAAGCCAAGGUUAAACCCCGCUCGUGCAAUCCCCAGACCGAGUGUUUUCCAUUUGGCACCACGGAGUGUGAUCAGCUCAAAAAUAGUGCUGUCUGUUUGGGAGAGCCCAAGUCAAACAGAAAACAUGCCAGGAAAACGGCCCCUCUACACGUGAGAAGGGAAAACAACCCUGAAAAGCAUGCUGGGUAAUUUGUUUCGCUGGAAACAAGAGUGUUUCUGUGAGUGUUAGUAUACGUUUGUGCACGUCAGGGUUUUUCAUGCAGAAAGCAUGUAGACGGUGUUUACAUGCACACACGCUCAGUCAGCUGGUUUGGCUGAGGAAUAGUGCCAGAAAAACACCCAUGGCUCUCUGUCCUGGUUUUCCCUUCUCGGCCAGCCCCCCUGGCUCAGUCUUUCUCAAAUUUCUUCCUCCCUCCAUCACUCCUGCCUUGCUGUUUCAAUGUUUAUCUCUCUCUCUCUGGAUCAAACGUGUUUUAUUUCUUGGCUGAAAUAGUCCAACUCCUCUUUAGCCAAUUGGACUGUACUCUUCGGUCAAAAAGUUCAAACAUAAAAACAAAAGUUUUCCUUUGUUUUAUUCCCUCCCCCCAUUCCUCCAUUUUUUUGUAAGAGAUAGAGAGAGAGAAAUAUCGAGAAAAAAUAAUAAUAUAACGUCAAUGCAAUUUUAUUGAACACAUUUCUUGAACACAGGUUUUCAUCAACUUGGCAAACAAAUAUCUUGAGAUGGACAAAGCAGCAAAACAAAUACAGAAAUCACGUGCAGACAAAUAAAAACAAUAUGAACUCUUUUCAUCAGUAGCUUUAUCACAUCUGGUGUUAUUUCAAUAGGUGAUAUUUCUCAUGAGAUUUUUAAGAAACAAAUUUGUCACUUUGCAAUACAAUAUGACACAAUUGAGGCAUACUGAAAUGACAUGUAUAAGUUUAAUUUCGUGUCAGCAGAAUCUAGAGCAACAGGACAGCUGGAAUAUGUAUAUAUGGAAUUACUUUAAGGCAGAGUAUGGUCAAAUAUAUGGCCACAUUCUCCUAAACGAGUCAUUUAUUGAACUGAAAAGGGUGAAAUGGAUUCCUUCACCCAGGUCUAUUACUGCAAAGACUUUAAGAACAAAGAAAACUGCUCAGAAACAAAACCCUCAAGCAGUAAAUAUACCCAGAAGAAUUACUUACAUUUUUACACAUCAAUUUUUCCUUUCACAAAUAACAGACAAAACCAUUUUAGUGAGCUGCAGGACAAAAGAAUCUAUCAACACUCAAUUGUGAGUCGCAUUACUCCCCCUGCUGGUUUAUCUGUUCAGCUACAACCAAUGUAAGCUGUAUAUUUCAUUUUAAUCAAAAUAUAAAAUAAAUACAAGAUAAAUAACAUUUUUUAGGGAAA